CCUCCGAGCCUGAGGUCGCAGCACGCUGAGUGACUUGGAAUUCGGGUGCCGGCGGUCACCGAGGUAGAUAGAGAGAUGGCUGCCGCUCUGCAGCGCAUCGAGCAGCUGUCCAGUCGGGUGGUGCGCGUGUUGGGCUGCAACCCGGGUCCCAUGACCCUGCAAGGCACCAACACGUACCUGGUGGGGACCGGCAGCAGAAUCCAAGACUACCAGCCCAUGGAUGGCACCACCCACAAGAGGUCUCUCCCCCCUACACAGCUGAAUCUCAUGGAGGCAUUUCCUCAACUGAAGCUCCUUUCUCUGUGAGGACUCCAGCCUGUGCCAAGUUGACACAAACCAGCCAGUACAGUGAGAAUCCUCAUUGACACUGGUGAGCCAUCAGUUCCAGAAUAUAUCAGCUGUUUAAAGCAAGCCUUGGUUGAGUUUGACACAGCAAUCCAGGAAAUCCUGGUGACACACUGGCAUUCUGAUCAUUCUGGAGGCAUUGUAGACAUUUGUAAAAACAUCAAUAAUGACACCACCUACUGCAUUAAAAAACUUCGACGGAAUCCCCAGAGAGAAGAAAUUAUAGGAAAUGGAGAACAGCAAUUUAUUUAUAUAGAAAACGGAGACGUGGUUAAGACCGAGGGAGCCACUCUCAGAGUUUUGUACACUCCUGGCCACACUGAUGAUCACAUGGCUUUACUCCUGGAGGAGGAGAAUGCCAUCUUUUCUGGGGACUGCAUCCUAGGAGAAGGGACGACAAUAUUUGAAGACCUCUAUGAUUAUAUGAACUCCCUAAACAACUUACUAAAAAUCAAAGCUAACAUUAUAUAUCCAGGACAUGGCCCAGUCAUCCAUAAUGCUGAAGCUAAAAUUCUGGAAUAUAUUUCUCAUAGAAAUAACCGAGAAGAACAGAUUAUUUCAUUAUUCCGUGAUAACUUUGAGAAAUCAUUUACCGUAACGGAACUUAGGACAAUGAUUUACAAGGAUGUUCCAGAGAAUUUACAUAAGAUGGCAGAGCAUAAUCUCUUGCUUCAUUUGAGAAAACUAGAGAAAGAUGGGAAGAUAUUCUACACAACAACUCCUGUCAAGAAAUGGAAAGCCGUCCUUUAGUUACAGAUCAGUGAAGUUCUGUCUUGUUUUGCUUUUAGAAGAUGGUAUUUUCUUUUAGCUAUAGAUUAUAUAUUUAUAGAAAAUAUUAAAUGCACAACUUUGAAAAUAACCCUUGAUACUUGUAAUCCGUGAUAAUUGUAAAAUAUGUAAAUUACAUUUUAUAUCUGGAGGACAGGUUACUGAUCUAACCUUGGUCUUGGAAGGUUUUACCAGAAAUUCAGAAUCUAGCACUUUUUCAAUUUUCUAUGGAUUAAGUAAAGUGGUUAUUAAGAAUAAUAGAUUUUGAACAAUUCAAACCAGUUAAUACUUUAGAGUUUGAUUGUUAGGGUUUCUAUUGCUGUAAAAAACAAAAAUGACUAAGGCAGCUCUUAUAAAGGAAGACAUUUAAUUAGGGCUGGCUUACAGUUCAGAGAUUCAGUCCAGUAUCAUCAUGGUGGGAAGUAUGGCAGCCUGCAGACAGACAUGGUGCUGGAAAAGGAGCUGAGAGUUCUACAUCUUGAUCUGAAGGCAGCCAGAACAAGACUGUCUUCUGCAGGCAGCCUGGAGGAGGCUCUCCCAAGCCCACAGCGACACACUUCCUCCAACAAGGCCAUACCUCCUAAUAGUGCCACUCCCUAUGGGCCAAGCAUUCAAACACAUGAGUCUAUGGGGGCCGUUUCUAUUCAAACCACCACAGUUAUUUGUUAGCAUUUGCCAGUAAUACUGCUUUCUUUAGCUACUUCAAUCAACAGCACACAUAUCUGCAUACGCAUUCCUUUUCUUCAGCCCUGUCAAUGCCUUUUACAUACCAAGUUUAUUUCACUUUUCUAUCAAUUAUAUCAUUUAAGUAUUGUUUCUACAGUUCUAUGCUAUGUUUAUUUUCUUGUAACGGUAUCCCAUAAGCAAUUCAUAAGUUGAUCAUUAACAAAUACUAAAUAUACUAAUUUAAAAUAUUAUGUGAUUAAUAAUAAGUAAUUCUUAAAAUUUUAUUUUAUGUGUAUGAAUAUUUUGCCUACAUGAGUAUCUGUGCACUCCAUGUGUGCAGUGUGCACAGAGGCCAGAAGGGGCACUGGAUUCCCUGGAACUGCAGUUACAGGUGUUAGUCACCAUGUGUGUCCACAGAAUCAAACUGGGUCCUCUAGAAGAACAGCCAUUGCUCAGAACUGCUGAGCCAUCUCAUCUCUCCAGCCCACGACAGCAUGCUUUGCAAUUUUAGAUUUUAGUAUAGAAAUGGCCAUCCGUUUAUAUAUGAAUUAUAUACUAGAAAGUGUUUUCUUUUAAUUAGAAGAUGGCAAGAUAGUCUUUUAAAUAUAUAAAUAACAUUCUCAAAUAAUGGUUAGAAUAGUGGUACUGCAUAGUAAUUUCCUCCAAAUUAAAACAUUCCGUCCUGGAGGGAGACUCCUAAGACUCGGGAAGUAAAUGAAACUUAAUGGGGCUCAGGAAAUAAAUAACUCACAAGUCUUAAAAAGUUUCUGAAACUUAAAUAAUUCAGCAGGUCCCUCCCCAAGGUUAUCUCGGCAAUACUGAUUGCUGGAGAGAAGAGACUUUAGCCUCCUGAGCUGUCUACAGGUAAUAGAGGAGAGCUCCAGGAAGAUGCCUUUCCUGAGGCAACACCUCCCCACCCCACCCCACCCGCUGAAGUGGGCUUUUCAGUGAUGCAUUUUUAUGCAAGCUAAACACAUUUUUUUCUUGUUCCAUGUAAAUAUGUCAUAUACCCAGAAGUGUUCCAUACUACAAAAUAACUAAAAACUCAAGAAUUAAAAGCCAGUGACCCAGAUAACUCACAAAUGGACAACAAAUGUUUCUCCAAAGAAGAUGCCUAAGAGAAAAACUGUUUCUCGGGCUAGAGAGAUGGCUCCGCGGUUGAGAGCAAUGACUGCUCUUCCAGAGGUCCUGAGUUCAAUUUCCAGCAACCACAUGGUGGCUCACAACCAUCUGUAAUGGGAUCUGAUGCCCUCUUCUGGUGUGUCUGAAGAGAGCAACAAUGGAUUCACAUACAUAAAUUAAAUAAAUAAUCUUUAAAAACAAAAAAAAAAA